rnacentral:rRNA from 1 species
GACGAACGCUGGCGGCGUGCCUAAUACAUGCAAGUAGAACGCUGAAGGAGGAGCUUGCUUCUCUGGAUGAGUUGCGAACGGGUGAGUAACGCGUAGGUAACCUGCCUGGUAGCGGGGGAUAACUAUUGGAAACGAUAGCUAAUACCGCAUAAUAGCAGUUGUUGCAUGACAACUGUUUGAAAGGUGCAAUUGCACCACUACCAGAUGGACCUGCGUUGUAUUAGCUAGUUGGUGGGGUAACGGCUCACCAAGGCGACGAUACAUAGCCGACCUGAGAGGGUGAUCGGCCACACUGGGACUGAGACACGGCCCAGACUCCUACGGGAGGCAGCAGUAGGGAAUCUACGGCAAUGGACGGAAGUCUGACCGAGCAACGCCGCGUGAGUGAAGAAGGUUUUCGGAUCGUAAAGCUCUGUUGUAAGAGAAGAACGAGUGUGAGAGUGGAAAGUUCACACUGUGACGGUAUCUUACCAGAAAGGGACGGCUAACUACGUG